GAUGAACGCUGGCGGCGUGCCUAAUACAUGCAAGUCGAGCGAACAGACGAGGAGCUUGCUCCUCUGACGUUAGCGGCGGACGGGUGAGUAACACGUGGAUAACCUACCUAUAAGACUGGGAUAACUUCGGGAAACCGGAGCUAAUACCGGAUAAUAUAUUGAACCGCAUGGUUCAAUAGUGAAAGACGGUUUUGCUGUCACUUAUAGAUGGAUCCGCGCCGCAUUAGCUAGUUGGUAAGGUAACGGCUUACCAAGGCAACGAUGCGUAGCCGACCUGAGAGGGUGAUCGGCCACACUGGAACUGAGACACGGGCCAGACUCCUACGGGAGGCAGCAGUAGGGAAUCUUCCGCAAUGGGCGAAAGCUUGACGGAGCAACGCCGCGUGAGUGAUGAAGGUCUUCGGAUCGUAAAACUCUGUUAUUAGGGAAGAACAAAUGUGUAAGUAACUAUGCACGUCUUGACGGUACCUAAUCAGAAAGCCACGGCUAACUACGUG
rnacentral:rRNA from 1 species